AUUGAACGCUGGCGGCAUGCUUUACACAUGCAAGUCGAACGGUAACAGCACUUCGGUGGCUGACGAGUGGCGAACGGGUGAGUAAUACAUCGGAACGUGCCUAGUAGUGGGGGAUAACUACUCGAAAGAGUAGCUAAUACCGCAUGAGAUCUAAGGAUGAAAGCAGGGGACCUUCGGGCCUUGCGCUACUAGAGCGGCUGAUGGCAGAUUAGGUAGUUGGUGGGAUAAAAGCUUACCAAGCCGACGAUCUGUAGCUGGUCUGAGAGGACGACCAGCCACACUGGGACUGAGACACGGCCCAGACUCCUACGGGAGGCGGCAGUGGGGAAUUUUGGACAAUGGGCGCAAGCCUGAUCCAGCAAUGCCGCGUGCAGGAUGAAGGCCUUCGGGUUGUAAACUGCUUUUGUACGGAACGAAAAGCCCUCUUCUAAUACAGGAGGGUCAUGACGGUACCGUAAGAAUAAGCACCGGCUAACUACGUG
rnacentral:rRNA from 1 species